rnacentral:rRNA from 1 species
UUAGUGGCGAACGGGUGAGUAACACGUGAGUAACCUGCCCUUAACUCUGGGAUAAGCCUGGGAAACUGGGUCUAAUACUGGAUAUUGACUUUUCACCGCAUGGUGGGGGGUUGAAAGCUUUUGUGGUUUUGGAUGGACUCGCGGCCUAUCAGCUUGUUGGUGAGGUAAUGGCUCACCAAGGCGACGACGGGUAGCCGGCCUGAGAGGGUGACCGGCCACACUGGGACUGAGACACGGCCCAGACUCCUACGGGAGGCAGCAGUGGGGAAUAUUGCACAAUGGGCGAAAGCCUGAUGCAGCGACGCCGCGUGAGGGAUGACGGCCUUCGGGUUGUAAACCUCUUUCAGUAGGGAACAAGGCUACACGUUGUGUGGUUGAGGGUACCUGCAGAAGAAGCGCCGGCUAACUACGUGCCAGCAGCCGCGGUAAUACGUAGGGCGCAAGCGUUAUCCGGAAUUAUUGGGCGUAAAGAGCUCGUAGGCGGUUUGUCGCGUCUGCCGUGAAAGUCCGGGGCUCAACUCCGGAUCUGCGGUGGGUACGGGCAGACUAGAGUGAUGUAGGGGAGACUGGAAUUCCUGGUGUAGCGGUGAAAUGCGCAGAUAUCAGGAGGAACACCGAUGGCGAAGGCAGGUCUCUGGGCAUUAACUGACGCUGAGGAGCGAAAGCAUGGGGAGCGAACAGGAUUAGAUACCCUGGUAGUCCAUGCCGUAAACGUUGGGCACUAGGUGUGGGGGACAUUCCACGUUUUCCGCGCCGUAGCUAACGCAUUAAGUGCCCCGCCUGGGGAGUACGGCCGCAAGGCUAAAACUCAAAGGAAUUGACGGGGGCCCGCACAAGCGGCGGAGCAUGCGGAUUAAUUCGAUGCAACGCGAAGAACCUUACCAAGGCUUGACAUGAACUGGAAACACUUGGAAACAAGUGCCCCGCUUGCGGUCGGUUUACAGGUGGUGCAUGGUUGUCGUCAGCUCGUGUCGUGAGAUGUUGGGUUAAGUCCCGCAAC